AUUGAACGCUGGCGGAAUGCUUUACACAUGCAAGUCGAACGGUAGAGGGGGCAACCCCUCGAGAGUGGCGAACGGGUGAGUAAUAUAUCGGAACGAGCCCAGUCGUGGGGGAUAACGUAGCGAAAGUUACGCUAAUACCGCAUACGAUCUAAGGAUGAAAGCGGGGGAUCGCAAGACCUCGCGCGAUUGGAGCGGCCGAUAUCAGAUUAGGUAGUUGGUGGGGUAAAGGCUCACCAAGCCAACGAUCUGUUGCUGGUCUGAGAGGACGACCAGCCCAACUGGAACUGAGACACGGUCCAGACUCCUACGGGAGGCAGCAGUGGGGAAUUUUGGACAAUGGACGCAAGUCUGAUCCAGCCAUUCCGCGUGCAGGAUGAAGGCCCUCGGGUUGUAAACUGCUUUUGUACGGAACGAAAAGGUCUCUCUUAAUACGGGGGGCUCAUGACGGUACCGUAAGAAUAAGCACCGGCUAACUACGUGCCAGCAGCCGCGGUAA
rnacentral:rRNA from 1 species